GGACGUGAGGGUGAUCUGGCUGUGACACCUGUAACCCUGGCAAUCUCCAGGGUUGAUUCGGCUGAUCUGGCUGGUUAGGUAGGUGUUCCCUUCCUCCCCCACCACUUCUUGUGCAUCCCUCCUGAAGCUGCAUGCUUGGUCAAAGUGGACAACCAUCCCUGAUAGAGGAGGAUCCAUCUUCCAUCAAGGGUAUAUGAGUAGCUGCUCCACUGCUAGAACCUCCAAACAAGCUCUCAAAUAGGUGGGGUUUUUAAUUUUGUUGUUGUUGUUGUUUUCUUUUACUUUUUCUUUUUUGUGACAGCGUCGCCAUCUGUCACCCAGG
rnacentral:snRNA from 1 species